UAAAUCUUUUUUGUUUUUUAUUUCUUAAUAUAUUCUUUUUCAAACUCAACAUUUCACUAGAAUCAACAUGAUUUAUUUCAUCAAAAUUAAUAAAAAUUUAAAUAGUUGUUUCCUACCCACAGCAAUACGUUAAAUUUUUUAAAAAAAAUUUGGGAACCAAAAUAAUAAUACAGACAAAGAUUGUGAACCAACAGUGCAGUUAACUAGCUAAGUUUAUUUCUAAAUGAAAUACAGGCAAAGAUUGUGAACCGACCGUCCCUAGAGUAAGUGGCAAAGGGCUUGGUGGUUGGUACUCGAGACCCAAGUUCGAAUCCUAGUUGAUUCACAUUUCUAGCUAAGUUUAUUUCUAAAUGAAAUAAAACGAAGCGGAUAGCAGACUACCUAUCUCUCUCUUAAAAAAAAAAAAAAAAAAAAAAAAAAAAAACCAGUGCAGUUUACUCUGAGUAGAGCUACUAUACUAUCAGAAGCAUAAAAAAUCUAGUGCUUCCCACUUUUUGAUCCUUACAUCAGCCCCUUUAAUCAUUUAUAAUCUUUGGAUUAAUACUAUUUACACUGGAAGGGCCACUCAACCCUAAAGAGACCACAAUCACUCCAACAGUACAAUUUUUGAUAUUAGAAUUAAAAAGUCGAAAACAGCAACUUUCUUAUGCUUCCAAUAGUAUAGUACCUCUGUACGUGAACUCUUUAGUCUUUUUUCCAUAAUAUUCUUUUUCACACUCAAUGAUUCAUUUGUAUUUUUUACUUUUUUUUUUCUUAUUUUUUU
rnacentral:lncRNA from 1 species